rnacentral:rRNA from 1 species
GAUAAACGCUGGCGGCGUGCCUAACACAUGCAAGUCGAACGCCCUUUUGCGCAAGUGAGAGGGAGUGGCGGACGGGUGAGUACCACGUGGGUACCUACCUUGAGGUGAGGAAUACCACCGAGAAAUCGGUGACAAGACCGCAUACGCUUGGCAACAAGCAAAGUCUCGCAAGAGACGCCACAAGAUGGGCCUGCGCCUGAUUAGCUAGUUGGUGAGGUAAUGGCNCACCAAGGCGACGAUCAGUAGCUGGUCUGAGAGGAUGAUCAGCCACACUGGGAUUGAGAACGGCCCAGACUCCGUACGGGG